rnacentral:rRNA from 1 species
UACGAAGGGGGCUAGCGUUGUUCGGAUUUACUGGGCGUAAAGCGCACGUAGGCGGUUUGUUAAGUCAGGGGGUGAAAUCCCGGAGCUCAACUCCGGAACUGCCUUUGAUACUGGCAGCUAGAGUCCGGAAGAGGUAAGUGGAACUCCUAGUGUAGAGGUGGAAUUCGUAGAUAUUAGGAAGAACACCAGUGGCGAAGGCGGCUACUGGACCGGAACUGACGCUGAGGUGCGAAAGCGUGGGGAGCAA